rnacentral:rRNA from 3 species
UUGGGGAUUUAUAUAAAAGGUUGGGCCUGCCCGGUGAUCUGAAAUGGUUUAACGGCUGCGAUUGAAACCGUACUAAGGUAGCAUAAUAAUUUGCCCUUUAAUUGGGGGAGAGAAUGAAUGGUUUGACGGUAAAAAAGCUGUUUUAAAAAUAAAAAAAGAAGUUAACUUUUAAGUGAAAAGGCUUAAGUUUUUAUAAAAGACGAGAAGACCCCGUCGAGCUUAAUUAGAAUAACUUAAAUGUAGGUUAUUUAAAAUUUUAUUGGGGCAAUAGAAAAUGAAAUGAAUCAUUUUUUUUAUUAUAAGGAUCCAGUUUUGACUGAAAAAAGCAAAAGCUACCGCGGGGAUAACAGGGUAAUUUUUUCUGAGAGUUCAUAUUUAAGAAGAAGUUUGCUACCUCNAUGUUGGAUUAAAAUUUCUUUAUGCUUGCAGCAGGUAUAAUAGU